rnacentral:lncRNA from 1 species
UGGUGUGUAAAGAAUAGGAGUUUAAAUUGUGAGGCAGAAAAUUCAUAAGACCAGAAGCAGGCCAAUUUGAGACACAUCAAAGGAGGGGCAUUGUGACCAAAUAUGCGAGUAUGAUGUCAGGAGAUUCGCAAGCUUUCCUGGAGCUGCUGUAGAUGGGCAUGUUGUGUGUGACACUGGGACAGGUCCAGCCUGGGACGAUCAGGCUGAGAGGACCAACCAGUGCUUCAGUUCUCCUCAUGUGUUGUCAUAAUCUGGUUAGUCAGGAAGCAGCCCAAAGCAGCAAACUUGUGUCAGCCCCUGGAGGCCAUGGAGCUGGAGGUCGUGAGUCUCUGGACCUGGGAGACAAGUCUUCCUUCCUGAAAACACUGUACUCACUGAGUCUUCUCCCCAGGAUUCAGCAGGGCCCAAAAAGUAGCAUUUCCAACAAACACAAAUGUCAGAAGCACUGGUAUGAGAAUUACAUGUUGAGAGCCUCCUUUUUCCAGGAAGAGGAAUCAUUAAGAAACAUAGAAUGCCUUGCUGAGUAGCAUUUUGACCCUCGACCUCAAGAAGUGCACCCUCCUCUCUGGGACAUCAAGAGUGGUCCCCCGACUAUUUAGCUGUGAAAGAACAGACUAUACCUUGAAGGGGGCUCUACAGCACUUCCUGUAGAGCUAUUGACCACUGAAAAUACACAUGGACUUGAGAGUCUGAACUGCUUUGUGUCUAAUAACAUUUUUAUGUUAACCUAAUACAACAUCAGUAAGUCAUGCCUUCUUAUGUUUUGAGAGAAAAUUAUUAAAUAAUUUACAAAGUGAC